rnacentral:rRNA from 1 species
UGGCUCAGGAUGAACGCUAGCGGCAGGCCUAAUACAUGCAAGUCGAACGAUAUCAUCCAGCUUGCUGGAUGAGAAAGUGGCGCACGGGUGCGUAACGCGUAUGCAACCUACCUUAAUCAGGGGGAUAGCCCGGAGAAAUCCGGAUUAAUACCGCAUAAAAUCACAGUCCCACCUGGGACAAUGAUCAAACAUUUAUGGGAUUGAGAUGGGCAUGCGUGUCAUUAGCUAGUUGGCGGGGUAACGGCCCACCAAGGCGACGAUGACUAGGGGAUCUGAGAGGAUGGCCCCCCACACUGGUACUGAGACACGGACCAGACUCCUACGGGAGGCAGCAGUAAGGAAUAUUGGUCAAUGGAGGCAACUCUGAACCAGCCAUGCCGCGUGCAGGAAGACUGCCCUAUGGGUUGUAAACUGCUUUUAUCCGGGAAUAAACCUCUUUACGUGUAAAGAGCUGAAUGUACCGGAAGAAUAAGGAUCGGCUAACUCCGUGCCAGCAGCCGCGGUAAUACGGAGGAUCCAAGCGUUAUCCGGAUUUAUUGGGUUUAAAGGGUGCGUAGGCGGCCUGUUAAGUCAGGGGUGAAAGACGGUAGCUCAACUAUCNNANAGCCCUNNNUACUGAUGGGCUUGAAUGGACUAGAGGUAGGCGNNGNUNNNNNNNNNAGNNNUNNNNNNNAUAGAUAUGUCUCAGA